GGAGAGGUGCCUGAGUGGUCGAAAGGACUCCCCUGGAAAGGGAGCAUACCCUUUACGGGUAUCGGGGGUUCGAAUCCCCCCCUCUCCG
rnacentral:tRNA from 3 species